GACGUAGGAUGCAAGCGUUGUCCGGAAUCAUUGGGCGUAAAGCGUUCGUAGGCGGCAUGUCAAGUCUGAUGUUAAAGCCCGGAGCUCAACUCCGGUUCGGCAUUGGAUACUGGCAAGCUAGAGUGCAGGAGAGGCAAAGGGAAUUCCCAGUGUAGCGGUGAAAUGCGUAGAUAUUGGGAGGAACACCGGUGGCGUAGGCGCUUUGCUGGCCUGUACCUGACGCUGAGGAACGAAAGCCGGGGGAGCAAAUGGG
rnacentral:rRNA from 1 species